UGCCAGCCGCCGCGGUAAUACGAGGGGUGCAAGCGUUAAUCGGAAUUACUGGGCGUAAAGCGUACGCAGGCGGUUACAUAAGUCAGAUGUGAAAGCCCCGGGCUCAACCUGGGAAAGUCAUUUGAAACUGUGUAACUAGAGUCUUGUAGAGGGGGGUAGAAUUUCAGGUGUAGCGGUGAAAUGCGUAGAGAUCUGAAGGAAUACCAGUGGCGAAGGCGGCCCCCUGGACAAAGACUGACGCUCAUGUACGAAAGCGUGGGGAGCAAACGGGAUUAGAUA
rnacentral:rRNA from 1 species